AAUGGGCGCAAGCCUGAUCCAGCAAUACCGCGUGUGUGAAGAAGGCUCUAGGGUCGUAAAGCACUUUCAGUAGGGAGGAAAGGGAUGUAGUUAAUACCUGCAUUCUGUGACGUUACCUACAGAAGAAGCACCGGCUAACUCCGUGCCAGCAGCCGCGGUAAUACGGAGGGUGCAAGCGUUAAUCGGAAUUACUGGGCGUAAAGCGCGCGUAGGCGGAUUGUUAAGUCUCAUGUGAAAGCCCUGGGCUCAACCCGGGAACUGCAUGGGAUACUGGCAAUCUAGAAUACAGUAGAGGGUAGUGGAAUUUCAGGUGUAGCGGUGAAAUGCGUAGAGAUCUGAAGGAACAUCAGUGGCGAAGGCGACUACCUGGACUGAUAUUGACGCUGAGGUGCGAAAGCGUGGGGAGCAAACGGGAUU
rnacentral:rRNA from 1 species